rnacentral:lncRNA from 1 species
GACAGGAUUCACAGGUAGAUAAUGAUUCACAAUCAUCUAUCUCAAGGACAUGUUCUUGAUCAAUUUGUCAAUCUGACUCUUGUUCAUAUGACUAAGCCUACAAUGCCAAAGAUAGGAUUCACUGAUAUUAUCUGAUUUAGGAUAUUUACUGGGUGUGUACAUUACACUAACAGAUCGUGAUAUUAUGUAUAUGCCAUGUUUCAAUUAUGCACGU